rnacentral:rRNA from 1 species
UACGGGGGGAGCAAGCGUUGUUCGGAUUUACUGGGCGUAAAGGGCGCGUAGGCGGUCGUGACAAGUCACUUGUGAAAUCUCCGGGCUUAACUCGGAACGGUCAAGUGAUACUGUCGGACUAGAGUACAGAAGGGGCAACUGGAAUUCUCGGUGUAGCGGUGAAAAUGCGUAGAUAGUCGGGAGGAACACCGGUGGCGAAGGCGGCGACCUGGACAGUAACUGACGCUGAGACGCGAAAGCGUGGGUAGCAAACAGG